rnacentral:lncRNA from 1 species
GGGGCGGGCACCCGGAGGCGGCCCAGGCGGGGGUCUCCCCCGGGGCCUGGGGCGGGCCGAAGAUGUCCAGGCCUGGCCGGAGCCGCCUCCUGAUUGACGAGGCCCGCAUGGGAGUGCGGACGUGCAGCACAGAUUUGCGGGUCUCCUGGGCCUCUUGGGCGGUGAUCAGCGCGGACCUUGGGCCAACCGGGGAAGCAGGCCGGAGCACUACCCCCCACCCCCAUUUUAGAACAUCCUUCUGAGGGCUUCGCUGACCUCGGCUUGAACUCCUUCAGAGCCGGAGAGAUCACUCCUUCCACCACCGAGGGAGAGGAGGCAAAAUGAAUUUGCCAGCUUUGAAUUCAUUCUCAAGGCUCCGCUAGUCUCACAGCCAGUGAACUCAGUCUGGAAUUCCUGAAAGCUCAGAAAACUGCUGCUUAGGUCCACCCGGGCGUGGGGGACGGGGUGGCAGCUGAGCAUCCCUGGAGAGGGUGGGUGGUAUGAAAGCACUUCCAGACCUCUAGGGACACCAGGGAGUCAUGGUCCCAGCACAUUGCUGUGUGAUUGAGCCCCUCCUCAGCCUGUGGGUGGCCUAAGUUCACAGGGAGGUAAUGGGGUAGAUUGGAUACCUCUGGGGUCUUGGAAGAAGCUAUGACUUAUUUACUGUCUACUAUGUGAGUUUUGGGCAUCCUUCUAUCAGCCCUUAUCCCAGGGCAGGAAGAACAGCCUUGAUCCUGGAUCCCAGGCACAGCUGGGUGUCAGACCUGGAGGAGAAGCUCCCAGAGUGACCAAGAUAGAAUCGGCAUGCAGGACACAUGGAAAAAUGAUUCCCAAGCAAUUUCCAGGAAGAAUAUUC